rnacentral:lncRNA from 1 species
GAGUCUGCUCUGAGUCAUUGUGCUGGGCCUUGUCUGGCGGGGGGAUGGCACCUUGGGACCCUUUCUUUUUCCCUUCAGCAGCCGGCAGCAGGGUCCCCAAGAGGAGAAGCAGGGCUCCCACCGUGUAGGCUGUGCGGCUCAUACUAAAGAAAGGAAGCACAGAGAGGGGAAGACACAAAACAUGGCAAAGUUAAUUUAAAAAUUAAUAAUAAUAGCACCUAGCAUUUAAACGCACCGUUAAACACUUAACGUGAAAUAUUCCAUUUACUUCUCACAGUACCUGUAUGAAUUAGGUACUAUUAUCUCCAUGACCCAGCCAUCAAUCCAUGGAGUAACUCACCCAGAGUCCCACAGUGACUAAGUCAAGGUUUAAACUCAGCCAGGGCCUAGCUCUUCUCUGCACCUAUUCUCACAAGAACUUCUUCCUGGCCUCUGGCACCAACCACAUUUGUCUUUGUAUUACGUUCACUUAUUGAGGGGAACUUAUUUUCUAUUUUGUUUUACAGCAAGAUGAAUUAACCUCUCUGCUCAGAGGACUUCAUUCCUCCGGAAACCUCCCAGUCUUUUCUCCCCAACUAGCCUGAGGCUUCCUGAGCUGUGAAUGCUUAUGAGACUUUGCAUUUUUAUCAUAUGUGGAAGGAGAGAUUCAUGGAGACCAGAAGGCAUUUGACAGAGGGAAAACAACAAAACAGGAAAGGUCGCGCUCCUGGUGCAGUAACUUGCUAUCUGAUCUUAAAGAUGUCACUUUGUCUCUCAGUAAAUCACUCCAUUUAAGCAAAGAUACCAAUACUUCGUCUCCCCAGAGAGAAGUAAACACCAACUUCAAGAAUGUCAAUCGAGACCUCAGCUUCUCAGAGAACAGCAGUGCUCUGAGGCACACUAGCUGCUCUACAUGAGUGACAGUAAGCAGGGUAAGAACUAUAAUUCAUAGUGGAACCAGGGCUCUGCCACAUCCUUGUCAAUCACUCAAGCUCUCCCCACCCCCAGACUGCUCUUGAUUCUUCAGUGAAGGAAAUAGUAGUGAUGUGCACUUGAAAUCCCAGUUGUAGUAUCACCAAAUAAUGUGCACUUUGUAAAUAUCAGAGAUGUAGAGGAAAUGCAGAAGAUGUACAUUUCUUGAGGACAAUUCUUUUCCACAGCAACAUGUAGAAGGGUGUCCCAUAGUAAAAAUUCAAUCCAUAGCUCAUCCAGACUUAGGUUCCUAUGACAUCAUUCAUGCGCCGUCAUUAGCUGCAAACACUUUAUGGUAAUUUCCACCACUUAUGAAAUGGCCUACUCAUAUCACUAAAUUAAAUUAAGCUGCAUCUCAUAGACUCAGGGUGCAUCAAGAUACCUGACAUCUCCGUUGAUUCUUUUUUGCAGACAGUAUAUCUUCUUUUCAAACUCUGCCUCAACUUCCCAUCAAUGCAGUUCAGCUUCUUCAAGAAAUGUGAUGUUAUUCUCAUCAUGAGUUUUCUUUGCAACUGUCCACCAGCAAGUCUCACCCCAUCUCCACCUUUUUUUCUCUUUGCCUCUAUCCUCUCUUUCAUUCCACUUGUCCCAGAGGACACAUACUCUCAAAGCAGGUCCUCUCUACAGCAUGCUUUCCUUCCAGUUUCCCUUAGGGAUCAAGAGUAAACAUCUACAAGCAAGGUAAGCCAUAUUAACCACCUCUAUCCUGUGCAGGUCAUGGCAAUGUAUUCCAAUUUUCACAAAGCCUCUAGGAACACAAUAUUCUAAUACUGAGGACUGAGAAAUAAAAAUGGUAUAUGUAUGACCUGUUCCCAGUGUUCAUGAUGUCUUUGGGAAAGUUUAAGCCAGCUCUUUCCAUCCCUCUUCUUGCUGUAUU